UACGUAGGGUGCGAGCGUUGUCCGGAAUUAUUGGGCGUAAAGAGCUCGUAGGCGGCUUGUCACGUCGGAUGUGAAAACCCGGGGCUCAACCUCGAGCCUGCAUUCGAUACUGGGCGGCUAGAGUCUGGUAGGGGGAUCUGGAAUUCCUGGUGUAGCGGUGGAAUGCGCAGAUAUCAGGAGGAACACCGGUGGCGAAGGCGGGAUCCUGGGCCAGUACUGACGCUGAGAAGCGAAAGCAUGGGGAGCGAACAGG
rnacentral:rRNA from 1 species